rnacentral:lncRNA from 1 species
UCAGGAGGUCAAUAAUUUAUGUCAAAGUUUAAAUUCAAACCAUACUGAGAAAAUGUAAGUUACAUCCCCAGUCACCACUGUAAUGGAUGUUAUCACAAUAUAACAUAAUUCUAUGAUUAUGAUACUACUUAAACAUUAUGUAUUCUUCUGUUGUAUUUUGAUCAGGGCUAUUCACAAGUAUAAAUGCAUCAUGGCCAGGCAGUUCCCAUGACAGCCAUAUAUUUAGAAUAUCCAGUGUGUGCAGAUACAUAGAGGCUAGGCACCAAGGUUUUGAAAAAGGUGUUCUGCUAGGGGAUAGUGGAUAUCCAUGUAGGCCAUUUCUGCUGACACCCUAUCUCAACCCAACCAGUGAGAGAGAAGAGAGGUACAACAGGGCACACACAUCUACAAGAAAUGCUAUAGAGAGGACUUUUGGAGUGUGGAAAAGGAAAUUCCAUGUUUUGCAUUC